rnacentral:rRNA from 1 species
GAUGAACGCUGGCGGCGUGCCUAAUACAUGCAAGUCGAGCGAACGGACGAGAAGCUUGCUUCUCUGAUGUUAGCGGCGGACGGGUGAGUAACACGUGGAUAACCUACCUAUAAGACUGGGAUAACUUCGGGAAACCGGAGCUAAUACCGGAUAAUAUCUUUAACCGCAUGGUUCAAAAGUGAAAGACGGUCUUGCUGUCACUUAUAGAUGUAUCCGCGUUGCAUUAGCUAGUUGGUAAGGUAACGGCUUACCAAGGCAACGAUGCAUAGCCGACCUGAGAGGGUGAUCGGCCACACUGGAACGGAGACACGGUCAAGACUCCUACGGGAGGAAGCAGUAGGGAAUCUUCCGCAAUGGGCGAAAGCCUGACGGAGCAACGCCGCGUGAGUGAUGAAGUUCUUCGGAUCGUAAAACUCUGUUAUUAGGGAAGAACAUAUGUGUAAGUAAAUGUGCACAUAUUGACGGUACCUACUCAGAAAGCCACGGCUAACUACGUG